CAAACGGCCCUUAUCAGGGCCACAUACAAGUGUACAUAACGAUCUGU
rfam:Trachymyrmex cornetzi contig32617, whole genome shotgun sequence.